GGUUGAUCCUGCCAGUAGUCAUAUGCUCAUCUUGAAGAUUAAGCCAUGCAUGUCUAAGUAUAAAUGACUUUAUACAGUGAAACUGCGAAUGGCUCAAUAAAUCAGUUAUAGUUUAUUUGAUAAUACCUACUACAUGGAUAACUGUGGUAAUUCUAGAGCUAAUACAUGCUACAAGUCCCGACUUUUGCGGAAGGGAUGCAUUUAUUAGAUACUAAAACCAGUGCGUCGGGGCAACCCGGCGGAUCUCGGAUGAUUCAUGAUAACUUGGCGAAUCGCAUGCUCUUGCAGCGGCG
rnacentral:rRNA from 1 species